rnacentral:rRNA from 1 species
UACCAUGCAGUCGAACGAUGACGAAACAGCUUGCUGUUUCUGAUUAGUGGCGGACGGGUGAGUAAUGUAUAGGGAUCUGCCUAGUAGUGGGGGACAACAGCCGGAAACGGCUGCUAAUACCGCAUACGCUCUACGGAGGAAAGCGGGGGCUCGUAAGACCUCGUGCUAUUAGAUGAACCUAUAUCAGAUUAGCUAGUUGGUGGGGUAAGGGCCUACCAAGGCGACGAUCUGUAGCUGGUCUGAGAGGAUGAUCAGCCACACUGGGACUGAGACACGGCCCAGACUCCUACGGGAGGCAGCAGUGGGGAAUAUUGGACAAUGGGCGCAAGCCUGAUCCAGCAAUGCCGCGUGUGUGAAGAAGGCCUUCGGGUUGUAAAGCACUUUCAAUAGGGAGGAAAGGUUAUGCGUUAAUACCGUAUAGCUGUGACGUUACCUAUAGAAGAAGCACCGGCUAACUCCGUGCCAGCAGCCGCGGUAA